CAACCCUGGUGGCGAGUGGCGAACGGGCGAGUAAUACAUCGGAACGUGUCCUGUAGUGGGGGAUAGCCCGGCGAAAGCCGGAUUAAUACCGCAUACGACCUAAGGGAGAAAGCGGGGGAUCUUCGGACCUCGCGCUAUAGGGGCGGCCGAUGGCAGAUUAGCUAGUUGGUGGGGUAAAGGCCUACCAAGGCGACGAUCUGUAGCUGGUCUGAGAGGACGACCAGCCACACUGGGACUGAGACACGGCCCAGACUCCUACGGGAGGCAGCAGUGGGGAAUUUUGGACAAUGGGGGCAACCCUGAUCCAGCAAUGCCGCGUGUGUGAAGAAGGCCUUCGGGUUGUAAAGCACUUUUGUCCGGAAAGAAAACUUCGUCCCUAAUAUGGAUGGAGGAUGACGGUACCGGAAGAAUAAGCACCGGCUAACUACGUGCCAGCAGCCGCGGUAAUACGUAGGGUGCGAGCGUUAAUCGGAAUUACUGGGCGUAAAGCGUGCGCAGGCGGUCUGUUAAGACCGAUGUGAAAUCCCCGGGCUUAACCUGGGAACUGCAUUGGUGACUGGCAGGCUUUGAGUGUGGCAGAGGGAGGUAGAAUUCCACGUGUAGCAGUGAAAUGC
rnacentral:rRNA from 1 species